UCAAAGUCUGCGAGUGGUUUCGAUGAAAUUCCAUACAGUGUUCUGAAAUUCCCUAUAGUGAUUGAGACAUUAUUACAGCUGUUUCAGCUCAUUUUGGACACUAGCCUUAUACCAUCAAUUUGGAGGAAAGCUGUCAUUUGUCCUAUACUAAAGGAUACUUCUUCAGAUACACGGCUGCCUAUGAACUACAGAGGUGUUAGUCUGCUAUCGUGUAUAAGCAAACUGUAUAGUGCUUUCAUUAACAAGCGAAUUACGCAUUAUUUAGAAAAUCAGGAUAUACUCGCAGACGAACAGAACGGCUUCAGAAAAAAUCGAUCUUGUGAGGAUCACAUUUACACGCUGAACAGUAUUGUCCGUAACAAUAAGUCUCUCUUUGUUGCGUUUAUUGAUCUAAGAAAAUGUUUUGACUUCAUAGACAGAGAUAUGAUGCUGUAUAAACUACUCAUACACAACAUUGAUGGCAAACUGUACAACUCUGUGAAAAGCAUCUAUCAGAAUUCUGAAUCUUGUGUCCGAUUAAAUGGCAAACUUACAAGCUGGUUUGACUGUAAAUCCGGAGUGAAACAGGGG
rnacentral:lncRNA from 1 species